GGCCUGGUGGUGUAAUGGUUACACGUCCUCACUUUCUAGGAAAAAAUGAAUCUAUGUGAGGAAGUACCAGUUCGAUUCUGGGUCAGGCUC